rnacentral:rRNA from 1 species
GAAUCAUGGCUCAGGAUGAACGCUAGCUACAGGCUUAACACAUGCAAGUCGAGGGGAAACGACAUCGAAAGCUUGCUUUUGAUGGGCGUCGACCGGCGCACGGGUGAGUAACGCGUAUCCAACCUGCCCAUCACUUGGGAAUAACCUUGCGAAAGUAAGACUAAUGCCCAAUGACAUCCCACGAAGGCAUCCGAAUGGGAUUAAAGAUUUAUCGGUGAUGGAUGGGGAUGCGU